rnacentral:lncRNA from 10 species
CGGAAACCCCCUGGCGAGACCACGGGCGGACGCUUCCCGAAGAGCUGCCUGGGCUGCAGCCGCGGAAGCUGCGUUCUGGGGAGCGGGGAGCGUGCUCCGGCGCCUUCGGGCCGCUGCUGGAAGCCGGAACCGAGCCCGGGCCGCUGCCCCUCACCGGACGCCGCGCGCCACCGGCCCUCCGCGGGGCAGGGGCUGCUGCGAGCUCGCCGGGCGCCCUUUAGACGCAUUUAAGGAAAUCUGUUUCUCUUUUGGAUCACUAGCUGCAAAUUAAGCUAACAGAACAGGAGCUCAGCUGGUCACACACAGCAACGAAUACAGACUUUAUAAAGUUCAGAAAAGUUACCAAACAGUGGUAACCAUAACAAGUACCAACAAUGAACUAUGGGGAGGGAGGAGAAUCUGAUUUCCAGAGUUACCACAUUAUAAUACUAUUCAAAAUGUCACAUUUUUAGCAAAGAUUACAUGACAAGGAAAAACCAGAAAAGUAUGGCCCAUACACAGGUAAAAAAAGAAAUUAAUAGAAACUACCCCUGAAGAAGCACAGACUUCGGAUGUACAAAACAAAGACUUUUCAUCAACUCUUUUAGAUAUGCUAGAAGAGCUAAAGGAAACCAUG